UGGUCUUACAGGCAGUAUAAGAAGCAUGGCACCAGCAACUGCUUGUGGUGAGGCCUCAGGAAGCUUACAAUCAUAGAGGAAGGCAAGAGGAGCUGGCUUGUCACAUGGCCACUCUUCUGUAGGGCUGCUGCAGUUUGCUGGGGGAUCACUCCAGGCCCUAGUUGCCUAGGUUUUCCCCUUACCUGGAUGUAUCACCAGUGAAGUCUGCAAAACAGCAAAGAUGGCAGCCUGCCCCUUCCUCUAGGAGCUCUGUCCCAGGAGUGGAAUGUGGAGGUUUGAGAAGCAUCUACAGUUUGAAGCACAAUAUCAGCAAUAUUAUCAGCAGAAAAACAUCAACAGGAUUGUGAGAUGAAGUAUUUGUCUGCAAUCUGUAAUGCCUCAAGCCUUGCUACUCUUUCAAGCGUAGCCCUUGGACUAGCAGCACUGAUGUUACCAGAAGUUUUGAGAAAUUCAGCAUCCCCAGUUCUACCUCAGACCUACCAUAUUAGAAUUUGCAUCUUUAAUAAGAUUCCCAGGAAACAUAAUCACUGGUGCACCAUACGUCCCUCCUUGAGUGACCUUGAUGACACAGUGCAGAAACAUCUGUCAUUUGUAGCCGGAUCUGUUUGCUAUUGUAAUUUUACAAACUGCCAAUAAGCCUCGAGGGCCUGGAACCAGAGCUGUCUUGAGAUGAAUGUGACCUAUGAGAAGCAGGCUUUUCCAGGUAGGAGAAAGACGAUAUUCCCCCUGGCAAAGGGAGCUCAUGCCUGUUUGAUUAUGAAGCAUAUACAUUAUGUCACUGGAAAUAAGGAGGGGUUAGUAGAAGCUCCAGAAAGGAGUCUCCAGCUAGGUAUGUUGAUUGGCUAGCAUUGAGCGGUAGCUUCAACUUACCUGGGACACAAAUGGCUUACGAGAUGGAACGUGAACUCUAUGGCCAAAAACAUUUGAUUUUCAUUAAAGGUGGCCACAGUGUGUUAACUUAAUAGAAAGUCGCCGGUGAUUGUUUUCCAAAGGACACACCUGGGGGUGGGAGUGGAGGACAUAAAUGUAAUAAUGUAUAGAUGGCCAAUUAUAAGAUGUUUUGAGUUGCUGACUGCCUAAAAACAUUCAUUCAAUCACAUUGGUUCAUAGAAUUACACAAAGAAUUAAAAGCCUGCUGCUCUGGGGGUGUCUCAGCUGGACAACCCACAAAAGCUAUGCCUGGCCAAUCAGAAUGUGAAAGGAGGAGGUGGCAGUGGCAGUGAUAGCAUUUCACUUCCUACUGUGGCAGGGUCCAUUCCUUUAGAUUUAGCUUUCAAAUAACAACCUCUCUGGCUCCUCACCUGGCCCCAGCUGGAGA